rnacentral:lncRNA from 9 species
AUCGUGAGGGUGGAGGCCCCAGGAAUGGGAUGAGAACGGUUAUAAAAGAGACCUCAGACUGCUCACACGGAGGGGUCUGACUCUGGCCUCCAAGACUCUGCCAGUUUCCAUCAGAGGACUUACAUACAAUGAGGAAGGCUUGGAGUACCUGAUUUUUAAAUUAUCUUCCAAUUUUUUAAUUCCUAGGUUUGGACCGAGACGACGUUGGCACCAGGCCGGCAAUAUUGGGGCCCUGAUGACCUGUCCUGUAGUUAUCAUCUCAGAGUGCAACCAGAACCGGAGGCCAGAAUCAGACAACCUAGUGAGUUUCCAGGAAGCUGGUUGAAGAAGAGAUAUCAAGAGCAUGAGAAUUAACUGCUGAAAGCAGACAGGGAAGCUUUUGGAUCGAACUUGGGUUUAUUUAAGUUUUUCAUUUUAACACCAUAUUUAAAAAAAUCAAUUCAACUUAUCAAUUAAAAGAACACAAGAGUGAAAAAUCAAAAGGACUGAAAAUAAGACUGUGACACGAAGAAAAUGGACUCUGGUUUAUGAGCAAUCUGAGAAGCUCUCCUUCCCUAUAAUUUUCUGACCAUAUAGUUUCAAGAAAUUUGUUCCAGUGGAUGUGAUAUAGAUGAUUCGAAUAAAAUAAAAAUAGCUCUGCUGACUUUGGGCUUCAUUGGG